rnacentral:rRNA from 1 species
UACCAGCACCCCGAGUGGUCGGGACGAUUAUUGGGCCUAAAGCAUCCGUAGCCGGUCCUACAAGUCUUCCGUUAAAUCCACCUGCUCAACAGAUGGGCUGCGGAAGAUACUAUAGGGCUAGGAGGCGGGAGAGGCAAGCGGUACUCAGUGGGUAGGGGUAAAAUCCUCUGAUCCAUUGAAGACCACCAGUGGCGAAGGCGGCUUGCCAGAACGCGCUCGACGGUGAGGGAUGAAAGCUGGGGGAGCAAAGCAG